GUCUUCUCAAUGAGCUCCUCCCUGUCUACCAGUGACAGGGCUGUGGAUUCGCACGAGAAGAACAUAAACUUCGCACCAUUGUGUUUGUGUCACUUGUUGUCAUGGGGGACACUUCUCCGUGGCUGUGAGACAGAU
rnacentral:snoRNA from 1 species